CACAGUGACACUGAUCUUCCUUCUAUAAAAUCUUUUCUCCAUUGGACAUUUCUUCUCCAACACAUUCCCCGCCCCAUACUAUUUUCACUUCUUCUUCUCCACCUUUCCUCUUCAUCACACCCAGAAACAACAACUACUCUACCAGUGAGCUUGAAGCUUGCCAACCACCUAAAAGAAAUCCAAGUUCCAUCACACUCCGAGUUCCACAGAAUCAGUCGUCCGUCACGCACACGAUGCAAACUCCGGCGAGGAGCUUCAAGCUCCAAUGAACCGGAACAAAAAAAAUAAAAAAAUAAAAAACGUACAGUCCUCACUAGCUCUCAAGUCACAAACAACAACUCCGGCGAGGAGCACAAACCAAUAACCCGAUCUAUCCGGAGUUGGGACUUAUCCAUUCUCACCAAAGAAAACUAAAGCUCCAAAGAUCUAUCAUAGUAUGGGUUAUCACCGUCGAUUUUGACUGGUGCGAAGCAACUGUUGAUUCGGAGAUUUGUGAGCUCCGGACGUCCGGAGUUGCCGAUUUUCAUCUAUGUCAGAUUAAGAUCAGUCUUUACUUUCUUCUAAAGACUGUUUGUACUUAUAUUUGUAUCUGUAAAACCCUUGUAUUUGUAUUUUGAUUUAGAUGCUCGAUUACUAACUGA